rnacentral:rRNA from 1 species
GACGAACGCUGGCGGCGUGCUUAACACAUGCAAGUCGAACGGAAAGGCCCUGCUUUUGUGGGGUGCUCGAGUGGCGAACGGGUGAGUAACACGUGAGUAACCUGCCCUUGACUUUGGGAUAACUUCAGGAAACUGGGGCUAAUACCGGAUAGGAGCUCCUGCUGCAUGGUGGGGGUUGGAAAGUUUCGGCGGUUGGGGAUGGACUCGCGGCUUACCAGCUUGUUGGUGGGGUAGUGGCUUACCAAGGUUUUGACGGGUAGCCGGCCUGAGAGGGUGACCGGCCACAUUGGGACUAAGAUACGGCCCAGACGCGUACGGGAGGCAGCAGUGGGGAAUAUUGCACAAUGGGCGGAAGCCUGAGGCAGCGACGCCGCGUGCGUGAUGACGUCCUUCGGGUGGUGAACCGCUUUCGCCUGUGACGAAGCGUGAGUGACGGUAAUGGGUAAAGAAGCACCGGCUAACUACGUG